AGUGAACGCUGGUGGUAGGCCUAACACAUGCAAGUCGAACGGCAGCACAGUAAGAGCUUGCUCUUACGGGUGGCGAGUGGCGGACGGGUGAGGAAUACAUCGGAAUCUACUUUUUCGUGGGGGAUAACGUAGGGAAACUUACGCUAAUGCCGCAUACGACCUACGGGUGAAAGCAGGGGAUCUUCGGACCUUGCGCGAUUGAAUGAGCCGAUGUCGGAUUAGCUAGUUGGCGGGGUAAAGGCCCACCAAGGCGACGAUCCGUAGCUGGUCUGAGAGGAUGAUCAGCCACACUGGAACUGAGACACGGUCCAGACUCCUACGGGAGGCAGCAGUGGGGAAUAUUGGACAAUGGGCGCAAGCCUGAUCCAGCCAUACCGCGUGGGUGAAGAAGGCCUUCGGGUUGUAAAGCCCUUUUGUUGGGAAAGAAAAGCAGCAGGUUAAUACCCCGCUGUUCUGACGGUACCCAAAGAAUAAGCACCGGCUAACUUCGUG
rnacentral:rRNA from 1 species